AAGAUGUGAUGUCAGUGACAGAGGGUAGUUCUGUCACUUUAGACACUGACACUGAAAUACAGAAAGACAAUCUGAUCCUGUGGAUGUUUAGAGAUGAAGACAGUCUCAUAGCUCAAUUGGAUAAGACCACAAACACGGUCGCCUUUCCUGAUGCAAGAUUUAGAAGUUUGAAACUCGACAAAAAGACUGGAUCUCUGACCAUCAUAAACUUUAAAAAUAUUCACACAGGACUGUACAAACUACAGAUCAGCAACAGUGGCAAGAUAACCUCAAGCAAGACCUUUAAAGUGCUGGUAAACUUCAAAGUGUCAGUGACAGAGGGAGAUGCUGUCACGCUAAAGGUUCAUGUUGAAAUUGCUAAAACAGAUGAGAUACAGUGGCUAUACGAAGAAAACUCUCUUAUAGCUGAAAUCAAAGAAGGGAGCGUGGAGAUUCUUAAAUCUUAUACAGCUGAUGGGAGAUUCAGAGGCAGACUGAUGUUGGAUGACAAGACUGGAUCUCUGACCAUCAAGAACACCAGACCCGAACAUGCUGGAUGUUAUACACUAAAGAUAAACAGCAGCAAAGGGCCAUUGGAAAGACAGUUCUUUGUUAUUGUCAGAGCGAGUAUGAUAUUAGGAAAGAAGGGAAACAACGUCACUCUGAAUGUUCAUGCUGAAUUACAAAGAGAUGAUCUGAUCCUGUGGAUGUUUGGAGACGAAAACAACCUCAUAGCUCAAAUGAACGGAGAAACAUCAGAGAGCACAUUUACUAAAGCCGACGAGAGAUUCAGAGACAAACUGCUGCUGGACAAGAUGACUGGAUCUCUGACUAUCAGUGACAUCACAAGCGAACACUCCGGAGCUUAUAAACUACACAUCAUCAGCAGCAAAAAGUCCAUCUACAGCUCAUUCAGAGUCUUUUUGUGUGGUGAGUCUGUUCCAAACACUGUGUCAGUGAUGGCAGGAGAAAGCCUUAUUUUGAUCACUAAUUUUAAUGUAGAGCAAGAUGAGAAGCUGUACUGGACAUUUGAAGGUGUGAUGCUAGCAUCUGGAAUGAACGGAGACGUCAGUAAGACUUUCUACAAGAGUAAUUGGAGUUUCAGAGACAGGUUGGAGCUGCAUCAUCAAAGCGCAUCUCUGACUGUGAAAAACACCAGAAGCAGCGACUCUGGAGUUUAUCAGCUGAACUUGUGGAAUAAACACAAGAAACACAUUCACUUGGAUGUCAAUGUUAGCGUUUCUGAUGACACCAGAAACACACUGAAUCAAUCAGUAAAUGUACAGAUGCCACAUGGAGAAAUCCAGAGUAAUCUGUGAGUUAAACAGACCUUCCUGAAAACCUGUAGACGUUUUGAAAGCUUUAGAUAUGAAACACUAUCCUAAAAAAUCUUAAA